rfam:Allomyces macrogynus ATCC 38327 genomic scaffold supercont3.71, whole genome shotgun sequence.
GCCGACUUAGCUCAGUGGCAGACGCGUCGCUCUCGUAAAGCGAAGGUCGGGUGUUCGAUCCCCCCAGUCGGCA